AUGCUUUCUGGGUGCAGCAUGGAACCUGAAGGAAUGGAGGGUGAUGAAAGAGAAACAGGCGCCCAGGCUAAGCUAGCAACAUUCAGGGCUUACUCCUGACUCUGCACUCUGGUGGUGCUAAGGGGAUCAUCUGAGAUGCAGAGGAUUAAACCUGAAAUCAGAAAGACCUUGAGGAACCAGGGCAAUAUUACAGAAGGUAGGAAGUUUACCUCACAUGCAACCGAGCCAGGUUUGAUCCCAGGCAUCCCAGAUGGUCUCCCAAACACUGCCGGAAGUGAUUCCUGAGUACAAAGACAGUAGUUAACCUGAGCAGAGUCAGA